GAUGAACGCUGGCGGCGUGCUUAACACAUGCAAGUCGAACGAAGCGCUUAAACGGAUUUCUUCGGAUUGAAGUUUUUGCGACUGAGUGGCGGACGGGUGAGUAACGCGUGGGUAACCUGCCUCAUACAGGGGGAUAGCCUUCCGAAAGGAAGAUUAAUACCGCAUAUUAUGAUUUUUCUGCAUGGGAAAGUCAUGAAAGGAGCAAUCCGCUGUAAGAUGGGCCCGCGGCGCAUUAGCUAGUUGGUGAGGUAAGGGCUCACCAAGGCGACGAUGCGUAGCCGACCUGAGAGGGUGAUCGGCCACAUUGGGACUGAGACACGGCCCAG
rnacentral:rRNA from 1 species